rnacentral:rRNA from 1 species
AUUGAACGCUGGCGGCAGGCCUAACACAUGCAAGUCGAACGAGUGGCGGACGGGUGAGUAAUGUCUGGGAAACCGCCUGAUGGAGGGGGAUAACUACUGGACACGGUAGCUAAUACCGCAUACCAUCAGAUGUGCCCAGAUGGGAAUAGCUAGUUGGUGGGGUAACGGCUCACCAAGGCGACGAUCCAUAGCUGGUCUGAGAGGAUGACCAGCCACACUGGAACUGAGACACGGGACAGACUCCUACGGGAGGCAGCAGUGGGGAAUAUUGCACAAUGGGCGCAAGCCUGAUGCAGCCAUGCCGCGUGGAUGAAGAAGGCCUUCGGGUUGUAAAGUACUUUCAGCGGGGAGGCGUUACCCGCAGAAGAAGCACCGGCUAACUCCGUGCCAGCAGCCGCGGUAAUAC